rnacentral:rRNA from 1 species
GAUGAACGCUGGCGGCGUGCCUAAUACAUGCAAGUCGAGCGAACGGACGAGAAGCUUGCUUCUCUGAUGUUAGCGGCGGACGGGUGAGUAACACGUGGAUAACCUACCUAUAAGACUGGGAUAACUUCGGGAAACCGGAGCUAAUACCGGAUAAUAUUUUGAACCGCAUGGUUCAAAAGUAAAAGACGGUCUUGCUGUCACUUAUAGAUGGAUCCGCGCUGCAUUAGCUAGUUGGUAAGGUAACGGCUUACCAAGGCAACGAUGCAUAGCCGACCUGAGAGGGUGAUCGGCCACACUGGAACUGAGACACGGUCCAGACUCCUACGGGAGGCAGCAGUAGGGAAUCUUCCGCAAUGGGCGAAAGCCUGACGGAGCAACGCCGCGUGAGUGAUGAAGGUCUUCGGAUCGUAAAACUCUGUUAUUAGGGAAGAAUAUAUGUGUAAGUAACUGUGCACAUCUUGACGGUACCUAAUCAGAAAGCCACGGCUAACUACGUGCCAGCAGCCGCGGUAAUACGUAGGUGGCAAGCGUUAUCCGGAAUUAUUGGGCGUAAAGCGCGCGUAGGCGGUUUUUUAAGUCUGAUGUGAAAGCCCACGGCUCAACCGUGGAGGGUCAUUGGAAACUGGAAAACUUGAGUGCAGAAGAGGAAAGUGGAAUUCCAUGUGUAGCGGUGAAAUGCGCAGAGAUAUGGAGGAACACCAGUGGCGAAGGCGACUUUCUGGUCUGUAACUGACGCUGAUGUGCGAAAGCGUGGGGAUCAAACAGGAUUAGAUACCCUGGUAGUCCACGCCGUAAACGAUGAGUGCUAAGUGUUAGGGGGUUUCCGCCCCUUAGUGCUGCAGCUAACGCAUUAAGCACUCCGCCUGGGGAGUACGACCGCAAGGUUGAAACUCAAAGGAAUUGACGGGGACCCGCACAAGCGGUGGAGCAUGUGGUUUAAUUCGAAGCAACGCGAAGAACCUUACCAAAUCUUGACAUCCUUUGACAACUCUAGAGAUAGAGCCUUCCCCUUCGGGGGACAAAGUGACAGGUGGUGCAUGGUUGUCGUCAGCUCGUGUCGUGAGAUGUUGGGUUAAGUCCCGCAACGAGCGCAACCCUUAAGCUUAGUUGCCAUCAUUAAGUUGGGCACUCUAAGUUGACUGCCGGUGACAAACCGGAGGAAGGUGGGGAUGACGUCAAAUCAUCAUGCCCCUUAUGAUUUGGGCUACACACGUGCUACAAUGGACAAUACAAAGGGCAGCGAAACCGUGAGGUCAAGCAAAUCCCAUAAAGUUGUUCUCAGUUCGGAUUGUAGUCUGCAACUCGACUACAUGAAGCUGGAAUCGCUAGUAAUCGUAGAUCAGCGUGCUACGGUGAAUACGUUCCCGGGUCU